UGAGGAAUAUUGGUCAAUGGUCGAGAGACUGACCCAGCCAAGUCGCGUGAAGGAUGACUGCCCUAUGGGUUGUAAACUUCUUUUACAAGGGAAUAAAAUGAGAUACGUGUAUUUUAUUGCAUGUACCUUGGGAAUAAGCAUCGGCUAACUCCGUGCCAGCAGCCGCGGUAAUACGGAGGAUGCGAGCGUUAUCCGGAUUUAUUGGGUUUAAAGGGUGCGUAGGUGGGCUGUUAAGUCAGCGGGGAAAGUUUGUCGCUUAACGAUAAAAUUGCCGUUGAAACUGGUAGUCUUGAGUAUAGAUGAAGUAGGCGGAAUGCGUGGUGUAGCGGUGAAAUGCAUAGAGAUCACGCAGAACUCCGAUUGCGAAGGCAGCUUACUAAGGUAUAACUGACACUGAAGCACGAAAGCGUGGGUAUCAAACAGG
rnacentral:rRNA from 1 species